rnacentral:lncRNA from 1 species
GGUGGGUAACUUCCGCCAGACUUUUCUGGAGAUGGCUAAUCCAGCCGUGGGAUGUGGUUUCUUCUAACAGCCAGUCAGGAAAAUCUUGCUUCUCAAACUCCUGUCUUGACCCCUUCCUGAACUUUGCCUCCUGGAUCUUGAGGUCUGCCUUCUGUGGAAGAGAAAUACUAGAAUCAAUGAACUGUGAACUAGAGCCCUGGGAUUAUCAACAGCUGAAAUUUUGAGAGCCACCUUAUAGAAAGCCUAACAGCAAAGACUGGAGAGAGGCUUCCAGCCAACAGCCAGCAAGGAAUUGAAGCCCUCAGUCCAAUAGCAGUGAGGAAUUGAAUCCUGCCAACAGCCUCGUGGAUGGGUUGCUUGCUGCCUGAAUCUAACUCCUGCUACUACUGCAAAUACCACUGCCAUGAAUAUCCUCAGCAAGACCCCCUUCCAGACCUGCAUGAACAGUUGUGUGAAAUGUAUAUGCACAAAGGGACUGCAAGGGAAGACCCAGAGACUAGGGAAGAACUUGGAACAAUAAUCUCAGUUUCUUCAAUUCCUAAACUUGAGAGUAUUGCUGUUUUUAAAUGAAAGUAUUUUUUCCCCCUAAGCAUUUUGUUCUAAAGUUGAGCUGCCUUUGAGGGGAAAUAAAGAGACUACCAGAUUAAUGGGUUUUUUUCAAAUGGGAUGGUGGGGUAAGGAAUAAUCGGGGUGGUCUGUGGAACAACUUGGAGGAUUGGUGUUAUGUCUCAAGAAGAUAUUCAAGUAUGUUCCUCCUUUUUUACCCAGACCGACUGCUUCAUGCUGGGCUUCAGACAUGAGAGGCUAGGAGUAGGAGGCAUGCCUUGUUCAAAGAUACCCAGUUCUCCCAGGACCAUUUGUUGAAAAGGCAGGCACCUCAUUUUACAGAAGAGGAAACUGAGGCCCAGAAAGAGAAGUGGCAUGCCCAAGGCUGUGCCAGAAGCAAAGUGUAAAAUAGAUCCUGAGCCUCCGACUCCUGGUCUUAAAUGUGGGAAAUAGUCUACAGUUUGGAAGACACCAGAGAAAAAUGCUCCACAGCUCGCCCUGGUGACUCACUACAACUUAUGGGAAGAUGUGAGAUUAUUCUGUAUUCUAAUGUAUGUUAGAAGGCACACUCCACCCAAAGCCUUCCUGUGUGUUCCUCCCUGUGAGCUCACAUCCCGUUCACCAGCUGACUGGGAAGGGAAGUCAGGACCAGCCCUGACCCCAUCACACCAUCAUAACCUCGGGAUGGCAGGGCUGGAAGGCACCUCAGACGUCAUCCUUUGCAGACUCUUCAUUUUACAGUGAGAGGCAUGACGUGUCCACAGCUGGUUAGUGCCAAAGCCUGGGACAGGCUUCACAUUGUCCAGCUCUUAGUCAGAGCACUGUUGACAAUGUCUGCCUUCACUUGGAAUUCAGCACCUGCUUUCAGUAUAAACCCCUGCAUUUCACUAAAACUGAGCAGACUGCUGGUUUAAAAAAGAGAGGUCCAUCCAGCAGGGAUGAUGCUUUUCCUCGUUGAAAGAGGACAUUCACCUAAUGGGAGACCUGGAGUCAGAAUCUUUCUGAUGUGUGACUUGGCACAGUAACACAAUGCAGGAUGCUGGUGUGUUAAUAAAAAUAAAAAUUGCAUCGCCUACCUCAGAGUCGACAACAAUGUCAAGGAGUUAAUAGUCUUGGCAACACAGAGGCCACUGGACAGAGGCAUAACCUUGCGUGGCAGCUGCACGGGAAUUGGAUUUGGCUCAGGUGUUUCAGAUGACUAAGAACAAAGGGGACCACUCUUGGUAUAGAAGUUCAUCUCGUCGGGAGCAUCUGUGGUUCUUUUAUAAGCAAUGUACAUUCUACAAUAGAGGCAGACCCAGAAAUAAUUCAGAUAUUGGAGUUAGAAGAUCAGGAUUCUAAAAAAACCAAAAGAUCCUGCCUUACUAUGCACCUAUGGCCCUUCAAAGGCGAGAGUAGAAUCUGCUAUGAUUUAGAAGCAAGCAAUAAAAAGUACACAUCAGAAUUGGAGCCUGCACAGAUGUAGAAGGAGGCAUGAAGAGGGUAUUGGAGGAUUGCCCACUAUGCAGUCUGCAUCCUGAGUCUGUGGUGAGGCUGGACACGUUCAAGCUUACAGGAGAACUGGAGAAAGCAAGCAACACAGCGGUGGAAGUGAGACCACUGAAGGUAAGCUUGGGAGGGGGUCCCGACACCACCACAUCAGUGGAUCCACAGCUAAGUGAUUGGUGGUGGCCUGGGGUUCUGCUGUUUAGCAGGGACAAGAGUGGAGGAGACAAACUGGACUCGGAACAAACUGGGAGCCUCUGCAUCCAUCCGUAACUGUCUGGCCGUGACAGUGGUUAGAGAGGAGUGGCUUCUGUGAAACUCUCACAAUCUCAAAUCUCCCACAAGUGCCUCUUUCAGCUAACUCUAAACUGGUACCAUAGAGGAAAUGGAUUCUGAAAACUUGGUCUCCAACCUUAGACAAAUUGAAUAAUUAAUAUGUCCUCUCCUGCUUCUUCUGUAACUGAAUUUGCAUUGGGAAGCAGGCCUGUCACUCUCAGACUUUGUGGUUUGAGUAGGGCUCACUUCAGCACCACCUUUUCCUCUUCUCAGCCCCACGGACUGGCAUGAGACUCAGGCCUGGCCAACUGAAUGUCACACACCUAUGACCAUCAGUUGGCUCAGAGAUGGACUCAGGACACCAUCACAGCCAAUGAAACCCUGUUAGGGAAAUUUGUCAGAACCAUACAAAGAAAUAGCUCCACUUUUCCAUAGAGAUGAGACAUAAGCCUGGACUAACUGGUGUCCAAUUUGCCAUCAAGAGAGCAUCUGAGAAGACAGAGGAAAACUGGGGAAAGCGAAGUCUAAGGAAGGUGAGUAAGGACAAGUCCAGUUGAUAUUACAUGAAUCACCUGGACCUGGAAAUCAAGGCAUUGCUGGAUUCAAGGCCAAGAAAAAUUGGAAGCUGGCUUGAAUCAGGUUCUAUCACUUGCAGUUGAAAAGGUCCAGACUAAUAUGAUAACAAAGGAGCAAGUAAGCAAGAUUCUGCCCUACAGUAAGUGCUCAAUGCAUGUCAGCUGGUAUUAUUAUUAUACAGACUUCUAUUUCUAGCCCUUUUAUUUCUACCACCUCUCUUCUGUGUUUUAUGUAAAGUGCAUAAGGAUUGUUCUGUUUGGAAACAUCAAACCAUAUAAAAUGACACCAGCAGGUCCCUUUCUGUCUGUCAGUGUCCACAAGCUCAACAACCAGGAUCAGCAGACAAAAACAGCUAAGCUGGAGUCAGUGUUUUUAUGAAGAAACAGGAAAAGAACUUACUUGGGAACUGUAGCUCAUCCUCCAAUAUUCUCCAUCCUAUCACUCUUUUCAUGACAGUUUCUUCUUGGCCCUGAAGUUGCCUUGUCAUGGCUCCCUGCCUCUGUCCUUUCUCUGUCUCACUUACAUCUUCCAAUGAGGAAUACAGCAAGACCUUUGGAUGAGGACCUCCAAAGGUCCUCAGUAUCCUUAGGACACUCGGUGCAGAACUAGAGGGACUGAGAGGAGGAGCUUUUGCAGGUUAAAUGACUAGUGAAUGGCCUUUCCUUAUAUUUCCAUUAGAAAUGGGAUUAGCUACACCUGAGAAGGAAUGACUUUGGAACAACUGAUCCCUAGCUUUCCAAAAUAUGAGAAAUUGAGAUGCAGGGAGUAGUAAGCACCUAGUUAAUGAGUCAAAGCAUAUUUAUAAAGUUCACAGGGUACAUAGCAUAUAGCAGCUGUUCUCUAUCUCAGUUGAGUUUUGACUAGGAAAUGGGCUUAGGAUAAAACACAUAGGCUUUUGAGUAAUCAUUUGUAAGAAAUUGUAGAUAGUGACCACAGUUUAAUAGCAUUAGAUAAAUUAUGAAAAGUCACUGAAAUACCUUCUCUGGAAAAUGUUAGAAGCUCAAGUACAAUGGCUUAGUUAAAGGCAGGUGGGGGAGAAACUUGAAGAAUGUGGUCCAGUACAAGAAUACCCCAUUUUUCCCCUAAGGCAAUGAAAAUGACAUGAAGUAAUCAUAGUUAUUUAUACAGGAACAAUUUAGGAGACUUAGAAUAUUCACUUCUUUUGCCUUCUAGCUGAGCAUCAAAAUUCUCUCUCUGUCUCUGCCUCUCUCUCUCUAUUUUCCACUUCUAGCUCCAACUAUUUUAAAUCCCUCCCCCAAUAGAACUCAUAACAAACAUAAAACAACAUUUGUUGUAUGUUUACAAUAGAUGUUCAAGCUAAUAUUUAUGUAGGCUUAGCCCUGGCAUUAAAUUAAGGUUUGGUUCACCAACAGGGUGCCUAGAGACUUCACCUCUAUUUCCAUGAGGGACUGAACAGCCUCUUGAGAAGGGACUCAUCAAAAUGGAAGAGUUGGCAAUAAGAAGUUUGGCUAAAUAACCAAGCACUGAAGUUGCAGAGGAGAAAGGAUUUGAAAGGCAGUACAGUGUCCAGGGGCAAGUUGGCAAUUUUUAGCAGGAGGUGAAGUGAUGCCAGCAGAGGUAACAGUGCUCAGAGGGACCAGUAGUCCCCAGGAGGAGCAGGGGAAUCCCCAGUGGAUCUGAUUUGUUCAAGAGCACAUGUGAGAUUAUCAGCUGGCGUUACAAUUUUGGAGUGGCAGUGAGAAGCAGUGAAUUUGAGGUCACUCAAUUUGCAGACCCCAAAGGGUGAAAUGUUGAGAAACAUGAGUUACACAUGUAUUUAACAGCUCUUGUGUAUUAUCACAAAUCCUAUUUCACCUCUCAUGCCCCCGAGGCUUUGGUGUCCAGUUCUCUGAAGACUUCAUCAAUCCUCAGCCAUAAAUCACCUGAGAGCAACUCACCUUGCUUCAUACUAUGAAGCUCCCUGAUGUCACAGCAUGGCAGGCCUGUGGCAACCCCUCAACACUUAUGCAUGAUCCCAAACAGCUAGAGGAUUAACACCUACGGUGUAACCCUUGACCAGCAGGAAAUGGAAAUUACUGUCUUUUUGUCCCCGCAGGUGAAUGGUUCUAAAAUGCAUUUUAUAAGCCUUCUGAAAUAGUCCCACAGGUCAAGCACCUACUUGCUCCAGUGGUGACCAACUCAAUGAUGCAUCCUUGGGUUGACUCUCCCUCCUUUCCAGUUCACUUUCCCCGCCCCUCACUCCUGCACCUCAGCAUCACAUUCCUGAAUAAACCACUCACACAUCUGUCUUAUUUCAGACUCUGUUUGGGGGAAUCCACAAUAAAAAUUUGUCAUUUUGAGUUAAACAUUGCUCUCACCUUGAAGACAUAUUUCCAUACCUAGAGAUUUCUGAAGUUCUCUCCCUUUUCCUAUCAUCUCCUUUGUGCUUUGUCUGACCUCCAUGUUACAGAGCCCCAUGAUAUUUAGAGCCAGUACUGCUAGGGAAGUAGUUCAGUUGUGUUUUAAAUGGUUCAGCAACUUGUAACAUCAACUGAGAACCAGAGGAAUACACUUGGAGGCCAAGAAAAAAAUGUUAGCUAAUAUGUACCAUACAGUAUGAUUCCUUGGGUAAGGGAAAGUAUAUGCAAGUGACAGAGGAAAAUUGAAAGUUGUAGCCCUUUUUUGGACUUUAGAUUUGGAAUUAAAGUUUCUCUUCUCUUGAAAGACCUUCUUUUUGUGGAUAAUGAUGAAUCUGAAGACCAGAACAGUGGGCCAAUUUGCCUUAGUUGAGAGUGGCAAAUAAAUGAAGAACUGAAGAACGUAUCUCUUUAACUAGUGCUCCUUUGUUGAGAAGAUACAAAACAAACAAUUGAAGGGUAUGGAUGAAGCCAUUGGCUUAUUCAUGUCUCUGUUGAUCAUAAUGAGAUUAAUAUAUAUAGGACAUUCACACAAAGAGGAUAUUGACUCGAUGGCUUACAGAUUAUUAGAGUUAGAAAUGUGACCUACUACUAAAGGAAGAAUGUUUCAGGUGUGGAUCUCUGAUUUAAAAAAUACACCACACUUGCCUCAGUGAAGCAAGUCAACUUAGGUGCUGAUACAAUGCCACUGCAGCUGUGCUGAGUUCAUGAAAUCAGAUCCCACUCUCUUCACCUACCCCUACCGUAUUCAUCCUACUUUCCGUCUGCUCUGCCCUUCCCAUUUGGUAACCUAGUCAUGAAACACCUGGCUCUGGGUCCUUCCUUCAGCAUCACUCCACGUUGUACUGCUGGCAUCGCUUUUCUUGGCACAGAACCUCUUAGGGCUGCUAUCCUAGGAGUAGGUGCUACUCAGGCUGGCUUAGUCCCAGGCUUCACUCACUUCUUGGCCCAUGGCCAGGAGGACCGGAAAGAACAAACUCUCUGCACAUCUCUGCAGGUGGCCACAGAGCCCCCAUCUGAGCCUUGCUGAUGGAGAAGAGCAUGCUGCAUCACAAGAUAACUGUGUGGCUCUGUUCAAAAACCUUGUUUAGAAGUUAUUAUUUCUUUUAUUGCAUUAGAAUUUGCCUCACUGUAGCUUUUGUGCUUCUGUCCUGGUUCAGCCUUAGAUAGCAGUGCAGCCUGGUCCAUGUGAAAGCUCUUGCAAUAGGCCUUUCUGCUAGUCAGGAGUUCUCAGACCCAUCCCUACUCUUCACUUUUCUCAAGACUAAUAUCAGACUCCUGGGCUCUUCAAGGUUUCCUCAUAUGAUAAAAGUUCUAAGCCCUCCAUUGUCCUAGUCACUGUCCUCUCUGUUCCAUCCCUGUCUGCCCUUCCAAGAUGCUGCACCUGGAGAUGAAUUUGUCCUUCCUGGGGCAAGUCACCAUGAGAUGAUUACUUUUGGAUCAUACUGAAUUUGUGGGUUAAAUAAACUCAUAGGUCUUUAUCUCAUGCACUAAAUCCAAAUUCGAUCUCUUGCCGUAAAUCAUUUUUUUGAAUAGCUGAACAAUAAGUAAAUAAUACACAAAUGAAAACUAAUCAAUAUUUGAACAUCCUCAGUAUUUUCAGCCCUAGUUUGAGCCAGACAUAGCUCAUCUUGUAUACUUCACUAAGGACACUUUAUACGAUCAAGCAAUUAAUAUUAUGAUGUCAUGUCUCGCAAGCCCCAUAGUGUCACUUCCAGUCUCUUCACCACAAAGAACGUUGAAGCCUUCGUAUUUUUUUGAAAAUCAUAUUUCUAGCUGCAGGAUGGGAUGUAAGAAAAGUUCAGAUUAGGAUUAUUCUAGGCUCCUGACUAUAACUAAAAUCCUGAUUUUUUAUGGAAAGGAAUGAGGAUCAUUCCUUCAAAUUAGAUUUUUGUGAUAAAAAGAAAAAAGUUGGUAAUCUAUUCAAAAUUGUAACAAAAAUAACUGCAUUUUUCUUUGGAAAAUAAUAGUUGAUUCCUUUUUGCUUUUUUUACUUAUGAAUUGGGGUGCAAUAGAGUUUAAUAAAAAUGAUGUGAAACACUCUUAUAAGGCUAAUUUAUCACAUUUGCUUCAAGGAAUUGUCCUUUCUAACAAAAUUGUGAAAUGGAACUGAACAGUAGCAUGAUGAGGCCUCUACCAGGAGGAGGUACAGAACAAGGCAGGAGGUCAGUGGUUAAAGGACUCCUUGCUUAUGCUCAAGAAAUGUGGACCUUAUUAGAGGUGACACAGUGAAAUCAGUCACCUGAUUUCGCAGGUGACUGUGGAGCAAGAAUGCAAAUCCACAAUAUUAGGAUGAAUGUGAGAGGAGAAGGGAAGGAGGCCAUGAGGGAAAAAAGGACAUCUAAUUGGGUCUGAAAGGAAGGGUAGAAUUUAAGUAAAGAGCACUGUGUACAUAUGGGAAUACCAUGUACUUUCUCAUGGAGAGAGGCCUUCUGACAGUCCUGCAUUGAUCCUGCUUCUUUGACCAUCCCUUGUUAGCCAGCAGGUCAUUUGGCCUCACUAGUUGCCUCAGUGCUGAGUGAUAGACUCAGCAGUCCCCAGCCUCUUUGGCACCAGGGACUGGUUUUGUGGAAGAUAAUUUUUCCAUGGAUCAGGGAGAGGAUGGUUUCAGGAGGAUUUAAGU